rnacentral:rRNA from 1 species
UUAAUACUGGAUAGAUCAAAGAUACUGGAAUGUUCUUUGUUCGAAAGCUCCGGCGCCCAAGGAUGGGUCUGCGGCCUAUCAGGUAGUAGUGGGUGUAACGUACCUACUAGCCUACGACGGGUAAGGGUUGUGAGAGCAAGAGCCCUGAGAUGGAUUCUGAGACAUGAAUCCAGGCCCUACGGGGUGCAGCAGGCGCGAAAACUUUACACUGCGGGAAACCGCGAUAAGGGGACCCCGAGUGCCAGCACCUAGUGCUGGCUGUCCAGCUGUUCAAAAAACAGUUGUUAGCAAGGGCCGGGCAAGACCGGUGCCAGCCGCCGCGGUAACACCGGCGGCCCGAGUGGUAGCCGUUAUUAUUGGGUUUAAAGGGUCCGUAGCCGGCCUAUUAAGUCUCUUGGGAAAUCUGGCGACUCAAUCGUCAGGCGUUCA